UUUUUAGAUAAAAAGGCCCGAUAGUUAGUUCUCGAGGUCUGAUUUUCGAAAUCUAAUUACCUUACAUUUUUAGUUAAGUUUUUUUAAAAAAAAAUCAAAGAAGGAGAAAAAUAGCAUGUUCUUAAUUUCUUUCUCGCUCUUAUUGAACUUCUAUACUUUUAAAAAUACGAAGUAAUUAGUGUUUGUAGGCAUUCGAUUUUUAGAUAAAGAUUUGUAAAAUUAGGAUGAUAGUGGUAUCCAAGAAUCGAGUGAGUGGAAUAGAAUAAUUUAAGGAAUGAAAAUGGUUAGACGAAUAGAUCUAAUAAUGAAAAAUUUACAAGUAUCAAAUACUUAAUACUUUUAAAAGUACCACAGCCGAACUUUCUCCUUCUAUAUAUAUAUAUAUAU
rnacentral:lncRNA from 1 species